CCCUUAGAUGUUCUGGGCCGCACGCGCGCUACACUGACACGUUCAUCAAGUCUAUAACCUUGACCGAGAGGUCUGGGUAAUCUUUUAAAAACGUGUCGUGCUGGGGAUAGAUUAUUGCAAUUAUUAAUCUCCAACGAGGAAUUCCUAGUAAACGCAAGUCAUCAACUUGCAUUGAUUACGUCCCUGCCCUUUGUACACACCGCCCGUCGCUACUACCGAUUGAAUGAUUUAGUGAGUACCAGGGACCGAGCGCUUUGGUUGGGUUUCCUUCCCUAGCGCUUGGGAACUGUCGCAAACUUGACCAUUUAGAGGAAGUAAAAGUCGUAACA
rnacentral:rRNA from 1 species